UAAUAAGUGUUUUAUGGCACUUUUUAAAUCCAUAUCCACCUUGUGUGCAAUGUCGGUCGAUCUUCUUUUUUUGAGGAUCGACCAAACAUCAACCUUUAUUUUUAACUCUUUGUCUGAAAAAUAUUAUGAAUAAACAAUUCAAAGUA
rnacentral:misc_RNA from 1 species